CCUGUUCAUCGGUUACGGGGUCGCCGCGCUCAUGCUGUGGCGGGUGCAGCGCUGGCCGUUCCUGGUGGCCGUACUGGC
rnacentral:tRNA from 1 species